rnacentral:rRNA from 1 species
AAACCGUUGAAAGGGAAGCGAAUGGAGUUAGCAAUUCGUUUGUCAGAUUCAGUUGCAUGCACGCAACGACGUGCGCGCCCUUGAUCCGCAUGGACAAGGCGUGUCCGGAUGUGACGUGCAAGCAGCGCACUUCUGGCAGGCGAGCGUCAGCGUCGGUUGUUGUGGAGCGAAAAAGUUGCGGGGAAGGUAGGCGAAUUCUCGUUGUUAAGCCCUGCAUUCGCAUAUCUC